rnacentral:rRNA from 1 species
UACGUAGGGGGCAAGCGUUGUCCGGAAUCAUUGGGCGUAAAGAGCGUGUAGGCGGCCCGAUAAGUCCGCUGUGAAAGUCCAGGGCUCAACUCUGGGAUGCCGGUGGAUACUGUCGGGCUCGAGUCCGGAAGAGGAGUGUGGAAUUCCUGGUGUAGCGGUGAAAUGCGCAGAUAUCAGGAGGAACACCAAUGGCGAAGGCAGCACUCUGGGACGUGACUGACGCUGAGACGCGAAAGCGUGGGGAGCAAACAGG